GACGAACGCUGGCGGCGUGCUUAACACAUGCAAGUCGAACGGAAAGGCCCUGCUUUUGUGGGGUGCUCGAGUGGCGAACGGGUGAGUAACACGUGAGUAACCUGCCCUUGACUUUGGGAUAACUUCAGGAAACUGGGGCUAAUACCGGAUAGGAGCUCCUGCUGCAUGGUGGGGGUUGGAAAGUUUCGGCGGUUGGGGAUGGACUCGCGGCUUAUCAGCUUGUUGGUGGGGUAGUGGCUUACCAAGGCUUUGACGGGUAGCCGGCCUGAGAGGGUGACCGGCCACAUUGGGACUGAGAUACGGCCCAGACUCCUACGGGAGGCAGCAGUGGGGAAUAUUGCACAAUGGGCGGAAGCCUGAUGCAGCAACGCCGCGUGCGGGAUGACGGCCUUCGGGUUGUAAACCGCUUUCGCCUGUGACGAAGCGUGAGUGACGGUAAUGGGUAAAGAAGCACCGGCUAACUACGUGCCAGCAGCCGCGGUGAUACGUAGGGUGCGAGCGUUGUCCGGAUUUAUUGGGCGUAAAGGGCUCGUAGGUGGUUGAUCGCGUCGGAAGUGUAAUCUUGGGGCUUAACCCUGAGCGUGCUUUCGAUACGGGUUGACUUGAGGAAGGUAGGGGAGAAUGGAAUUCCUGGUGGAGCGGUGGAAUGCGCAGAUAUCAGGAGGAACACCAGUGGCGAAGGCGGUUCUCUGGGCCUUUCCUGACGCUGAGGAGCGAAAGCGUGGGGAGCGAACAGGCUUAGAUACCCUGGUAGUCCACGCUGUAAACGGUGGGUACUAGGUGUGGGGUCCAUUCCACGGGUUCCGUGCCGUAGCUAACGCUUUAAGUACCCCGCCUGGGGAGUACGGCCGCAAGGCUAAAACUCAAAGGAAUUGACGGGGCCCCGCACAAGCGGCGGAGCAUGCGGAUUAAUUCGAUGCAACGCGUAGAACCUUACCUGGGUUUGACAUGGAUCGGGAGUGCCCAGAGAUGGGUGUGCCUCUUUUGGGGUCGGUUCACAGGUGGUGCAUGGCUGUCGUCAGCUCGUGUCGUGAGAUGUUGGGUUAAGUCCCGCAACGAGCGCAACCCUUGUUCACUGUUGCCAGCACGUUAUGGUGGGGACUCAGUGGAGACCGCCGGGGUCAACUCGGAGGAAGGUGGGGAUGACGUCAAGUCAUCAUGCCCCUUAUGUCCAGGGCUUCACGCAUGCUACAAUGGCUGGUACAGAGAGUGGCGAGCCUGUGAGGGUGAGCGAAUCUCGGAAAGCCGGUCUCAGUUCGGAUUGGGGUCUGCAACUCGACCUCAUGAAGUCGGAGUCGCUAGUAAUCGCAGAUCAGCAACGCUGCGGUGAAUACGUUCCCGGG
rnacentral:rRNA from 1 species